rnacentral:rRNA from 1 species
UACGUAGGGGGCAAGCGUUGUCCGGAAUCAUUGGGCGUAAAGAGCGUGUAGGCGGCCUGAUAAGUCGGCUGUGAAAGUCAAGGGCUCAACCCUUGAAUGCCGGCCGAUACUGUCAGGCUAGAGUCCGGAAGAGGCGAGUGGAAUUCCUGGUGUAGCGGCGAAAUGCGCAGAUAUCAGGAGGAACACCUAUGGCGAAGGCAGCUCGCUGGGACGGUACUGACGCUGAGACGCGAAAGCGUGGGGAGCGAACAGG